UAGCAGAGUGGUUAAGUGCCUGGCUGCUAACCAGAAGGGUGGUGGUUCAAACCCACC
rnacentral:tRNA from 1 species